rnacentral:rRNA from 1 species
UAACUGAAAUACAUUAAGAUUUGUUAGUAUAAUUUGGUUUAUUUUGGGUUUGUUUCGUUGGGGCGACGAGAAUAUAAGUUAGAUAACUGUUCUUUAUGUGUGUAUACAAUGUUAAUUGGUUAAAAAUUGAUCCUUUACUAAAGAUUACAAGAUUAAGUUACUUUAGGGAUAACAGCGUAAUCUUCUUAGAUUAAGUUACUUUAGGGAUAACAGCGUAAUCUUCUUUGAAAGUUCAUAUCGACAAGAAGGGUUGCGACCUCGAUGUUGAAUUAAGGGUUCUUUGUGGUGCAGCAGCUACAAUAAGAAGGUCUGUU